UCCUUUCUCAAUUCCCUAUCCUCAUCCCACCAAAAUUCCCAUGUCUCCCAACCAAACAAAACUCUUAAUAGCCUCAUCCUUCUAAACUCCCAAUCCCUCCUAAAAACUCCCUCCAACCAAACGGGCUGUCACAUGGCUUUACUGAAGCUUUUCAGUGGUUGCUUCAUGCCCCCUCAAGUGCAGGUCUUCUUUUUUACAAGAUCGUGUGCAGGUCUUGGAGAUACAAUGUGCGAAAAAAUCAAUGAAUUUCUUCACAAAACGCUUUUAUUCUGUGAACGCUGGUUGUUAGUACUUAGUACCUUUAUUGAAAUUUGUAUGCUUUUGUUUCUUGAAUGGACACAGUUAUUGAGCACAACAAGGGGUGUAAAAGAGGUUGUGCACAACGAUUUUGAUAAUGUGCAAGCUGAGAUCAUAAGCACAAAUAAGGAGCUUUUUCCUGGUACUGUAACAUUUGAUGAUUUCCUAUGGGCAUUCAGAAUACUCAGAUGAAGGGAAGUUCUUACUGGGGCUGAGGCUCUGCCUCCUUCUCGUCUCCUUACUGGGGCUGAUGCAAAUGAUUGGAGCUAAAUGUGUAUUUCAUGGUUUGUAAUAAACAAAUUUUUCAGCAAAUUGUACCGCUCGGUACUGGUACCGCUCGGUACCAGUACGCAUCUGCCGUUCGUUCCGGCAUGGGUAGGAUCGGAAGAGAGUGGCGCCGGCGAUGCGUUGAACAAUCAAGUGGCGGCGAGCGGCGGAUUCCGGCAUGCGUUGAAGCAGGCCGCGGUGGCGGCAUCGAACUCGUCCUUCCCAGCGGCAGCGGCGUUGAAACAAGCGGCGGCGGUAGCAAACUUGUCGUUCCCGGUGGCGGCGGCGUCGAUGUCAUCCUUCCCGGCGGCAGCGGCGUCGAUGUCGUCCUUCCCCGCGGCGGUAGCGGCGGCGACGUUGAAGCAGGCGACGGCAGCAGCGAACUCGUCGUUCCCGGCGGCGGUGGCGGCGUCGAUGUCGUCCUUCCCGGAGGCGGCGGCGUCGAUGUCGUCAUUCCCGGCGACGGCGGCGGCGAUGGCUGAGUUCACCUCCAAGAGUCGGCGGCGUCGAUCCAGGAGGCGGCGGUGGUGUCGAUCGAUCGAGAAUCCUAGCGCUUCUAGGGUUCAAGCUGCCCGUCCAUCCCUCCCGAUCCAGUUAUUACACGCGAAGUUACGUUUUUGCCCUUCCACCUCAGUUCUCCGCGUGGUACUGCACAGGGACAGAAUUGGUACCGCCCGGUACCAAACUCUACCAGCCGUUGGAUCAGGCCAGAUCCAACGGCCAGGAUUUUGGUACCGGGCGGUACCGGUACCGACCGCUGUACCGUAACAACGCUCAUUAAAAAAACUGAGCAUUUGGCUAAGGAACUCAGACAACCCGUUGCGAUGCUACAAAAGUGUAUGAAAUAAUAGCUGUACUACCUGAAGAUGCAUUUCUAAUUACUAAAUGCAUAGAAAGAUAAAGUACAAAUGUAUAUGCAGAAUCUAACAAGAGUAUAUGCAGGAGGUAUGCCAUUGACUCUGAGCAUCCUGGCGUGGCCUGGGGGUCCAGAUCUGUGACGAUCUGCGCAGUGUGCUGAUGCUUGUUGGUUGCUUUGGUUGGUACAGGCGAGUGCAUACGGCGCGGGGAACAGCGUGGCGUACCACCGUGGGGCGUGCUUCGCCAACGACAUCGUCAUCGUCAUGUAAGUAAGAGGGUCCUUUCUGCAGUUCUGCAGUUUGGCCAUGUCUGUCUUUUAUGGCUUCUGAUUACAUAUUUAGAUCGGUGGCCAGAGCACUGCUAUAGUGGUGAAUUGAUUAAAGGAUGAAUGGCUGUUUGUGUUGACUGUGUUCUUCUCGCGGCAGAUGGUUGUCAGGUCAAAUUAAGUUAUCAGUCAAUCACGAUCUAAAUUCGGACGAAAAUAAAGUCUUUAAAAAAUAUCUGGACAAAAAAGAAGUUAUGAAAGUUAUGAAUGAAAUCGGGCUGCCUGUUUCCGCUAAUAUUUUGAAGGCAGCAUGUUGAAUAAGGAGGAUUAUAUAUAAACAUGAAGGUUUUAGCAUUACCAACAUAGAGAACAAUGUCUGAUAGUCUGAUAGCCAUCAAGUCAUGGUCUGGAUUAUCUAGGAUAGUAAGCUGCCGCAAGACAACUCGUGUUGUCUUAGCUCUUUUUUCCUUUGUGCAUCCCGUAGGUGCAGAGGCCGGAUGUAAUAUCAUUGCCAAAUAAAAUACCCGUUAUCUAAAAAUAUAGGAGAAAGAGAGAACGAGAAAAGCUUUGAAAACCAUACUUGGUUUUACCUCUAGAUUCAACGGCAAGUGAUUAUUGUUCUUAUGUGAUUAGUGAGUCAUAAAUAGAAGUCAAUCAUAGGUCUUUUGUGUCUUCAGUGCCUAUAGGAUAUCAAUUUGCAGGUCCAGGAGGUGGUUUCAAGAAUACUCCGAUGGAGGGCCUCUUGGUUCCAGUAUUCAAGGUUUGUACUUGUUAUCACAUAUUUGUUUUCUGCACUAAACUUGACAAUUGGCGAGCUGGUUGCUUCUGUAGGUAAGAAACUUUUAUUCUUGGCAUACGAUAUAUGAUCUGAUCAUAUCUGGUACUAGAAGCAAAUGCAGUUCUGGGGUUGGGACAAUCCUAUGAUUAAUGGGUGCAAAUUAGAGAACGGACUACCCAGCAUAAUGCUCACUGGAUUUUCUACCGGAUGUUUUGAUAAAUUUACAUCAUUUUUCAUUUAGUUAUUUGAACAUAUUUUCUUCUUUCCAUGCUUGAUACUUAACAAUGAUUUUCUGAUGUUUUGAUCAUAUAGUUUUUUUAAGGAAAUCCUGAUCAUGUAGUUCUCAGAAUCUCAGUUCAUGCUACAACUGUAUUUUGCUUAUUUGCCUUUGAUCUCUCUCUCUCUCCCUCUCUCUUUGUGCAGAUAAAUAUUCCAAACAUUAAAUUAUACCAUCUCCAGAUGCAUCACUGACAAUCAACAAGUUAUAUCUCAGGAUCUAAAAUGAGUUUUAACAUGAAAAGAUUAUGCUCUUAUAGAAUUGCCAUGGCAGAAUACUGAAUUGUCAAGUUGUAUGGCUCGAGAAUGGGCUGAAGUUGUUUGGUUCGAUUCCAGUCAAAGUACAAGUGUUGCUGCUAUUUGUGAAAACUGGAGAAAUAUUUCAAAGUUAACCUAACUUGCUAUAAAGGAAAGUACAUGGAGACUGACCAGUGGCUUGCAUCAUCAUUGCAAUUAGCUAAAUUUUGAAGGUUCACUCACCUUUUUCAUUCAUCUCUUUUUGUGCUUUUCUCUGAUUCAUGGAUACUGAAGUCCCUAUAACAUAUAUUGCAUUCUCUUUUAGUCUUUUAUCACCAAAUCUCGAAACAAAAUAGGAUGCAUUUUUCUCUUUUAUCACCAAAUUUUGAAACAAAAUUCAGUGUAUUUUGGUGUCGUUCAUUUUCCCUGAAAUGUCCUUGCACACCACUGCACUGGAAUACCAUAAAUAAAUGGGUUAAUUGGAUAAUGAAGUGUAAUUUGCGUAGCUUCCGUUAGUUGCUAAUAUGCCAUUUAUCCUGUUGCUGAAGUGUCGUUCUUUAUUAUGUUACAGGAAGUUGGGGAUUUUGACAAAAGAUGAAGAUCAUAUGGAAUUUGAUUGUAAAAGUAUAAAUGCAGCCACCCCUAACAUUUACCAAUCCUGAAUUCCUUACUCUGAUUGUGACUAUGUUGUUAGGAACAUUUUAUUUUGUUACUACUCAAUUUUCAUUUCAGUUAUGAAGACAUGUAUUGCUCAUCCUGAUCUAUUCAUUGUCCUGUAAAGAUACUUUUGUACAGUGAUAUCUAUCGCUUAUAAGCAACAUCUAAUAAAGGAACAAUCUAUAUUUUGCUGCCA